UCCGUAGGUGAACCUGCGGAAGGAUCAUUCAUAAUAAGUGUUUUAUGGCACUUUUUAAAUCCAUAUCCACCUUGUGUGCAAUGUCAGGGUUGGUCUCUCUCUUUUGAGAGAUGAUCAGCCCCAAACAUCAACCUAUAUUUCAACUCUUUGUCUGAAAAAUAUUAUGAAUAAAACAAUUCAAAAUACAACUUUCAACAACGGAUCUCUUGGCUCUCGCAUCGAUGAAGAACGCAGCGAAAUGCGAUACGUAAUGUGAAUUGCAGAAUUCAGUGAAUCAUCGAAUCUUUGAACGCAUAUUGCGCUCUUUGGUAUUCCGAAGAGCAUGCUUGUUUGAGUAUCAGUAAACACCUCAAAGCCUUUUUUCUUUUUUGAAGAAAGACUUUGGACUUGAGCAAUCCCAACACUAAUCUCUUGAGAUUGGAGGCGGGUUGCUUGAAAUGCAGGUGCAGCUGGACUUUCUCCUGAGCUAAAAGCAUAUUCAUUUAGUCCCGUCAAACGGAUUAUUACUUUUGCUGCAGCUAACAUAAAGGGAGUUUGACCAUUUUGGCUGACUGAUGCAGGAUUUUCACAAGAGUCUUCAAAAACCCUUGUUAAACUCGAUCUCAAAUCAAGUAAGACUACCCGCUGAACUUAAGCAUAUCAAUAAGCGGAGGAAAAGAAACUAACAAGGAUUCCCCUAGUAACGGCGAGUGAAGCGGGAUGAGCUCAAAUUUAAAAUCUGGCUGGUUUACUAGUCCGAAUUGUAGUUUAUAGAAGCGUUUUCGGUGGCAGCCUGGGUAUAAAUCCUUUGGAAUAGGGUAUCAUAGAGGGUGAGAAUCCCGUCUUUGACUCAGUGCAUGCUACUAUGUGAUACGUUUUCAAAGAGUCGAGUUGUUUGGGAAUGCAGCUCAAAAUGGGUGGUAAAUUUCAUCUAAAGCUAAAUAUUGGCGAGAGACCGAUAGCGAACAAGUACCGUGAGGGAAAGAUGAAAAGAACUUUGAAAAGAGAGUUAAACAGUGCGUGAAAUUGUUGAAAGGGAAACGCUUGAAGU
rnacentral:sRNA from 1 species